CAGUAGCCGCGGGAACACGUAGGUGGCAAGCGUUGUCCGGAAUUAUUGGGCGUAAAGGGCUCGCAGGCGGUUUCUUAAGUCUGAUGUGAAAGCCCCCGGCUCAACCGGGGAGGGUCAUUGGAAACUGGGAAACUUGAGUGCAGAAGAGGAGAGUGGAAUUCCACGUGUAGCGGUGAAAUGCGUAGAGAUGUGGAGGAACACCAGUGGCGAAGGCGACUCUCUGGUCUGUAACUGACGCUGAGGAGCGAAAGCGUGGGGAGCGAACAGGAUUAGAGACCCGUGUAGUCCCUGUCUCUUAUAC
rnacentral:rRNA from 1 species